UGCCAGCCGCCGCGGUAAUACGGGGGGUGCAAGCGUUAUUCGGAAUCAUUGGGCGUAAAGGGAGCGCAGGCGGUCUUAUAAGUCAGAUGUGAAAGCCCGGGGCUUAACCCCGGAAGUGCAUUUGAAACUAUAAGACUUGAGUAUGGGAGAGGAAAGUGGAAUUCCUGGUGUAGAGGUGAAAUUCGUAGAUAUCAGGAGGAACAUCGGUGGCGAAGGCGACUUUCUGGACCAAUACUGACGCUGAGGCUCGAAGGCGUGGGGAGCAAACAGGAUUAGAUA
rnacentral:rRNA from 1 species